rnacentral:rRNA from 1 species
CCAUAGGUUAAUGAGGCGAACCGGGGGAACUGAAACAUCUAAGUACCCCGAGGAAAAGAAAUCAACCGAGAUUCCCCCAGUAGCGGCGAGCGAACGGGGAGGAGCCCAGAGCCUGAAUCAGUGUGUGUGUUAGUGGAAGCGUCUGGAAAGGCGCGCGAUACAGGGUGACAGCCCCGUACACAAAAAUGCACAUACUGUGAGCUCGAUGAGUAGGGCGGGACACGUGGUAUCCUGUCUGAAUAUGGGGGGACCAUCCUCCAAGGCUAAAUACUCCUGACUGACCGAUAGUGAACCAGUACCGUGAGGGAAAGGCGAAAAGAACCCCGGCGAGGGGAGUGAAAAAGAACCUGAAACCGUGUACGUACAAGCAGUGGGAGCCUCUUAAUGGGGUGACUGCGUACCUUUUGUAUAAUGGGUCAGCGACUUAUAUUCUGUAGCAAGGUUAACCGAAUAGGGGAGCCGAAGGGAAACCGAGUCUUAACUGGGCGUUAAGUUGCAGGGUAUAGACCCGAAACCCGGUGAUCUAGCCAUGGGCAGGUUGAAGGUUGGGUAACACUAACUGGAGGACCGAACCGACUAAUGUUGAAAAAUUAGCGGAUGACUUGUGGCUGGGGGUGAAAGGCCAAUCAAACCGGGAGAUAGCUGGUUCUCCCCGAAAGCUAUUUAGGUAGCGCCUCGUGAAUUCAUCUCCGGGGGUAGAGCACUGUUUCGGCAAGGGGGUCAUCCCGACUUACCAACCCGAUGCAAACUGCGAAUACCGGAGAAUGUUAUCACGGGAGACACACGGCGGGUGCUAACGUCCGUCGUGAAGAGGGAAACAACCCAGACCGCCAGCUAAGGUCCCAAAGUCAUGGUUAAGUGGGAAACGAUGUGGGAAGGCCCAGACAGCCAGGAUGUUGGCUUAGAAGCAGCCAUCAUUUAAAGAAAGCGUAAUAGCUCACUGGUCGAGUCGGCCUGCGCGGAAGAUGUAACGGGGCUAAACCAUGCACCGAAGCUGCGGCAGCGACACUAUGUGUUGUUGGGUAGGGGAGCGUUCUGUAAGCCUGUGAAGGUGGCCUGUGAGGGUUGCUGGAGGUAUCAGAAGUGCGAAUGCUGACAUAAGUAACGAUAAAGCGGGUGAAAAGCCCGCUCGCCGGAAGACCAAGGGUUCCUGUCCAACGUUAAUCGGGGCAGGGUGAGUCGACCCCUAAGGCGAGGCCGAAAGGCGUAGUCGAUGGGAAACAGGUUAAUAUUCCUGUACUUGGUGUUACUGCGAAGGGGGGACGGAGAAGGCUAUGUUGGCCGGGCGACGGUUGUCCCGGUUUAAGCGUGUAGGCUGGUUUUCCAGGCAAAUCCGGAAAAUCAAGGCUGAGGCGUGAUGACGAGGCACUACGGUGCUGAAGCGACAAAUGCCCUGCUUCCAGGAAAAGCCUCUAAGCAUCAGGUAACAUCAAAUCGUACCCCAAACCGACACAGGUGGUCAGGUAGAGAAUACCAAGGCGCUUGAGAGAACUCGGGUGAAGGAACUAGGCAAAAUGGUGCCGUAACUUCGGGAGAAGGCACGCUGAUAUGUAGGUGAAGCGACUUGCUCGUGGAGCUGAAAUCAGUCGAAGAUACCAGCUGGCUGCAACUGUUUAUUAAAAACACAGCACUGUGCAAACACGAAAGUGGACGUAUACGGUGUGACGCCUGCCCGGUGCCGGAAGGUUAAUUGAUGGGGUUAGCGGUAACGCGAAGCUCUUGAUCGAAGCCCCGGUAAACGGCGGCCGUAACUAUAACGGUCCUAAGGUAGCGAAAUUCCUUGUCGGGUAAGUUCCGACCUGCACGAAUGGCGUAAUGAUGGCCAGGCUGUCUCCACCCGAGACUCAGUGAAAUUGAACUCGCUGUGAAGAUGCAGUGUACCCGCGGCAAGACGGAAAGACCCCGUGAACCUUUACUAUAGCUUGACACUGAACAUUGAGCCUUGAUGUGUAGGAUAGGUGGGAGGCUUUGAAGUGUGGACGCCAGUCUGCAUGGAGCCGACCUUGAAAUACCACCCUUUAAUGUUUGAUGUUCUAACGUGGGCCCCUUACCGGGGUUGCGGACAGUGUCUGGUGGGUAGUUUGACUGGGGCGGUCUCCUCCUAAAGAGUAACGGAGGAGCACGAAGGUUGGCUAAUCCUGGUCGGACAUCAGGAGGUUAGUGCAAUGGCAUAAGCCAGCUUGACUGCGAGCGUGACGGCGCGAGCAGGUGCGAAAGCAGGUCAUAGUGAUCCGGUGGUUCUGAAUGGAAGGGCCAUCGCUCAACGGAUAAAAGGUACUCCGGGGAUAACAGGCUGAUACCGCCCAAGAGUUCAUAUCGACGGCGGUGUUUGGCACCUCGAUGUCGGCUCAUCACAUCCUGGGGCUGAAGUAGGUCCCAAGGGUAUGGCUGUUCGCCAUUUAAAGUGGUACGCGAGCUGGGUUUAGAACGUCGUGAGACAGUUCGGUCCCUAUCUGCCGUGGGCGCUGGAGAACUGAGGGGGGCUGCUCCUAGUACGAGAGGACCGGAGUGGACGCAUCACUGGUGUUCGGGUUGUCAUGCCAAUGGCACUGCCCGGUAGCUAAAUGCGGAAGAGAUAAGUGCUGAAAGCAUCUAAGCACGAAACUUGCCCCGAGAUGAGUUCUCCCUGACUCCUUGAGAGUCCUGAAGGAACGUUGAAGACGACGACGUUGAUAGGCCGGGUGUGUAAGCGCAGCGAUGCGUUGAGCUAACCGGUACUAAUGAACCGUGAGGCUUAACCUU